UACAGAGGGGGCAAGCGUUGUUCGGAAUUACUGGGCGUAAAGGGCGCGUAGGCGGCCUGCUAAGUCGAACGUGAAAUCCCCGGGCUCAACCCGGGAACUGCGUCCGAUACUGGUUGGCUUGAAUCCGGGAGAGGGAUGCGGAAUUCCAGGUGUAGCGGUGAAAUGCGUAGAUAUCGAGAGGAACACCAGAGGCGAAGGCGAGUCACUGGACAGAACCUGACACUGAGGCACGAAAGCUAGGGGAGCAAACGGG
rnacentral:rRNA from 1 species